GGCGAUGGAGGGAAUCGCCUUAACCAGCUUCCCAGUUUUUGUGCUGUGCCAAGGGGCUGUGAGCCAAAACACCCAGUACUUCGGUGCAGGCACCCGGCUGUCGGUAUUAGAGGAUCUGAGCAAGGUGAGCCCACCCAAGGUCACCUUGUUUGAACCAUCAGAAGCAGAGAUCACAGACAAACAAAAGGCUACCCUCGUGUGCUUGGCCAGGGGCUUCUACCCGGACCAUGUGGAGCUGAGCUGGUGGGUGAACGGGAACAAGGUCAGCAAUGGGGUCAGCACAGACCCUCAGCCCUACAAGAACAACUUGACCUACAGCCUGAGCAGCCGCCUGAGGGUCUCUGCGACCUUCUGGCACAAUCCUCGCAACCACUUCCGCUGUCUAGUGCAGUUCUAUGGACUUACAGAGGAAGAUCAGUGGACAGGGGACUCACCCAAACCUGUCACACAGAACAUCAGUGCAGAGGCUUGGGGCCAAGCAAAGUGUGGAAUCACUUCAGCAUCCUAUCAUCAGGGGGUUCUGUCUGCCACCAUCCUCUAUGAGAUCCUCCUGGGGAAGGCCGCCCUGUAUGCUGUGCUGGUCAGUGUCCUGGUGCUGAUGGCCAUGGUAAGAACGCUUCAUCAGAUUUUUGGGAAACUGAUUUCAGCUCUCAUCUAUGAAUGUAAGAGUGUUAUGACAGGGAGACCAUGCCAUAGUCCAGCCACUCGGCUCCUUGUAGCCAGACUCAUUGCUGAUAUAAGGGAUGGAUUUGGAAACAGUGACACCAGGUCCAAAUUUUAA